UUCACCAGGCAAGCAACGGCUCUUCUAAUUUGAAAUCCACCUGUCGCCUUUUCUUCCAGUGAAUUCAUCCUCGCACAACACUGAGAUGAAGGCAAAGUCACCAUGAAAAGUUAAACGUUUAACGUUAAGCUACAGCAAUUGAUGCUGAAAAACUGAUGCUACCAAUCUCUCCUCACUUGAUUAUUCAAG